rnacentral:rRNA from 1 species
GACGAACGCUGGCGGCGUGCUUAACACAUGCAAGUCGAACGGUAAGGCCUCUUCGGGGGUACACGAGUGGCGAACGGGUGAGUAACACGUGAGUAACCUGCCCUUGACUUUGGAAUAACAUCUGGAAACAGGUGCUAAUACCGGAUAUGAGCCUUUUCCGCAUGGGGAGGGUUGGAAAGCUCCGGCGGUCAUGGAUGGACUCGCGGCCUAUCAGCUUGUCGGUGAGGUAGUGGCUCACCAAGGCUCCGACGGGUAGCCGGCCUGAGAUGGCGGCCAGCCACUUUAGAACGAGGAUAAUGCCCCAGCGCCUACGGGAGGCAGCAGUGGAGUAUAUAGCACAAUGCGCGGAAGCCUGAUGCGUCACCGCCACGGGCGGGGUGACGGCCUUCGGGUUGUAGACCACUUUCAGCAGAGACGAAGCUAACGUGACGGUACCUGCAGAAGAAGCACCGGCUAACUACGUGCCAGCAGCCGCCGUAAAAC